UCGAGAAUAUUCCACAAUGGGCGAAAGCCUGAUGGAGCGACGCCGCGUGGAGGAUGAAGCGCUUCGGUGUGUAAACUCCUUUUCUAUCAGAUGAAGUCGCAAGACUGACAGUAUGAUAGGAAUAAGUGGCUGCAAACUUCGUGCCAGCAGCCGCGGUAAUACGAAGGCCACAAGCGUUAUCCGGAUUUAUUGGGCGUAAAGGGCGCGUAGGGGGCGCAGCAAGUCUGCGGUUAAAUCUCAGAGCUUAACUCUGAAAUCGCCGUGGAAACUACAGCGCUUGAGAGUGUUGGAGAUAGAUGGAACGCACGGUGUAGGGGUGAAAUCCGUUGAUAUCGUGCGGAACACCAAAGGCGAAGGCAUUCUACUAUGACAUUUCUGACCCUGAGGCGCGAAAGCGUGGGGAGCAAAAAGG
rnacentral:rRNA from 1 species